rnacentral:lncRNA from 1 species
GACGGCCGUUGUUGUCUGAGCUCGCACUGCACCACCUCUGGACUUGGAUUCCCUCUGCAACAAAAUUCUUUGUAAAAUUUUCAAAAUUGAAGGGUUUUGCCUCAGCAAGUUUUUAAAUUUCGACCAAUGUUGCUUUCAAGUUCACUCGAAAGUUCAAAUUCUGCACAGUAUCUCCAUCAAAUGUGGUUCCAAAUCAAGAGAGAUUGGAGAAAAGAGUACUUACAUUAAUGCAUCUGAGUGCAGAAGAAGUGAAGUCAGGUUUGACAUGGUCGUAGAGUGAGACUCCAAAAGAAGAAGCACUCGAUUUAACCUCUUUGG